rnacentral:rRNA from 1 species
GACGUAGGGCGCGAGCGUUGUCCGGAUUUAUUGGGCGUAAAGAGCUCGUAGGCGGCUUGUCGCGUCGACUGUGAAAACCCGCGGCUCAACUGGGGAGGGUCACGCGAUACUGAUCGACUCGAAGGCAGGAGAGGGUAGUGGAAUUCCCGGUGUAGUGGUGAAAUGCGUAGAUAUCGGGAGGAACACCUGAGGCGAAGGCGGGCUACUGGGCCGAUACUGACGCUGAUGCGCGAAAGCCAGGGGAGCGAACGGG